CAGGGGAAGGAACUGAGGCCCAGCACCAGACCAGAAGCUAAAUGCAUGCCUUUCCACUUCCCCAGCCUGCACCUUCUCGGGCUACACGACAUCCCUUUGCUAACAUUGUCUGUUUUUAGGGCACCGUCUAGGGAUACAGUUGGCAGCAGUGGGUCAGAAGCAAUGAGCAGAUGAGUGAGAGGAGGACCCCAGGGCAGAAGGGGACGCCUACAGGGACCCAGUGUGUGCCAGGCACUGCCCUAGGGCUUAAAGACCGCCCUGGCCCCUCCCUUGCCAGUCAGCUGGAGUCAGUAUGCAAAGCAAGGUCUCCCACUCUGGAUUCAGGGCAGACCUGUCAUUUUAUCUCUUUCUUUCCAAUAUCCAUAGUACCCUUAAUAAAGAAAAUGAGUGAAGUUGGAAAAUUGAAGAUUGGAAAGAGAAUUUUUUUUUUUCACGAGGCAAGCCUCCCGUUCAUUCCUUUGGGUGUCAGAGGGUGGUGAGGGGUGCUCCAGGGAGGAAAUGAAGCCCUUGCUGUGGGGAGGAGGAUUCACCUCAUAUCUAAUAAGGUUCUUCUGACAACGCCAAGAUACACACCCCGCACGCACUCUUCCUCGCCACGUGAAUAGAAUAUGAUUAUUUCUAACGUCUCUAUCUGAAAGGAAAUGACCACAGCCAGAAACGAAGCAGACAGACGGCUGGAGCGGAGACUCAGAGACGGAAGCCAUCAACUGGACAGCUGGGUGCGAGGGAGACCUCCUCACCAAGUGUCCCCCUUUCUGGGUCAUGCACCCCCAGCCCCAGAAGAGGAGAGCAGACUCUGCUGUGCAGGCCCCUGACUUCCAAUUUGAAGCCGCAAGCCAGGUAUGGAAAUCAGAGCAAUAAAGAGACGAUGCCUCCCAGAUGCACAGGACGCUGGCUGUGUCGGGAAGCUAUCCAUCACAGCUGGCAGACACGCGUGGGCUUAGUGUGUAUCCCCCUGAUCCAUCGAAGGGCUGGAUGGUUUUCUGGGAAGUGGGAGGAGGGGCUAAUGAAACCACAAGGUUGGCAGAGACUGCCGAUGCAGAGUGCCCAGCUAGAAACUUUUCUUUCCACUGAGCAAAAGUGACUGCAACUUUUGAGAUCAA
rnacentral:lncRNA from 1 species